rnacentral:rRNA from 1 species
CCUACGGGAGGCAGCAGUGGGGAAUUUUGGACAAUGGGCGAAAGCCUGAUCCAGCAAUGCCGCGUGUGGGAAGAAGGCCUUCGGGUUGUAAACCACUUUUGUACGGAACGAAACGGUCUGCUUUAAUAAAGUGGGCUAAUGACGGUACCGUAAGAAUAAGCACCGGCUAACUACGUGCCGGCAGCCGCGGUAAUACGUAGGGUGCGAGCGUUAAUCGGAAUUACUGGGCGUAAAGCGUGCGCAGGCGGUUAUAUAAGACAGUUGUGAAAUCCCCGGGCUCAACCUGGGAAUUGCAUCUGUGACUGUAUAGCUAGAGUACGGUAGAGGGGGAUGGAAUUCCGCGUGUAGCAGUGAAAUGCGUAGAUAUGCGGAGGAACACCGAUGGCGAAGGCAAUCCCCUGGACCUGUACUGACGCUCAUGCACGAAAGCGUGGGGAGCAAACAGGAUUAGAUACCCUGGUAGUCCACGCCCUAAACGAUGUCAACUGGUUGUUGGGUGNAUAUAUCAUACGAAGACUACGCGUGAGUAGUACGCCGUGGAGGUACGGCCGCGAGUAGAACGACAANAGAAGUAGUACGGCGUGAGACGUGCCGACGGACGACGACGAGGGAGGAGG